rnacentral:rRNA from 1 species
AUACGUAGGGUGCGAGCGUUGUCCGGAAUUACUGGGCGUAAAGAGCUCGUAGGUGGUUUGUCGCGUUGUCUGUGAAAUUCCGGGGCUUAACUCCGGGCGUGCAGGCGAUACGGGCAUAACUUGAGUACUGUAGGGGAGACUGGAAUUCCUGGUGUAGCGGUGAAAUGCGCAGAUAUCAGGAGGAACACCGGUGGCGAAGGCGGGUCUCUGGGCAGUAACUGACGCUGAGGAGCGAAAGCAUGGGUAGCGAACAGGAUUAGAUACCCUGGUAGUCCAUGCCGUAAACGGUGGGCGCUAGGUGUAGGGGUCUUCCACGACUUCUGUGCCGUAGCUAACGCAUUAAGCGCCCCGCCUGGGGAGUACGGCCGCAAGGCUAAAACUUAAAGGAAUUGACGGGG